GCCCCCUGGAGGCCUGCUGGGAAAUGGCGGCAGGGGCGGCGGGUGCGUGGGUCCCCUAGGGAAGGCAGGCCUGAGAGAGGAGGUCUGCACGAACUUUUUUCCCCGGGAGAAUUCCAUAGUGCGUCCCCAGUACCGGGAAGGUGAUUCCCUCCGCCAGGGUUCGAAUCGCGACUCCGUGAGGUGACAACUCCACACACCCACCUUUUCCGUCCAGCGCCCUGGGAGCUCUGAGACGUGUAGGCCGGGAGCCACUCCUAUUGUUAGACUGCCUGACCCAAAACAGCUCGAGGAGAGAAACCUCUCAAAAUCAAGGGGCGGGGGGGCGAAGGGUUAAAAACCCAGGUGAGGCGAUAAACAAAUGCGCGCCACAGCAGCAACUAAGGCGCGCGCUCGCCCUCGAGCCUCUGACGGCGCUACGGCGGUUCGCCAGCCUCGUGCAAGACGAUGCGCCGCGGGUCUGGGCCUGCGCGGGUUGCUGCGGCGCGCGUCCGCCUUGCGUGUGAGGAGGCUGCGCGGGCAGGGUCGCCCGCGACCGGCAGCGGCUUUUAACUCUGGUUGGCGCUGCUCAUCAUUAUAUAUGAAGUUCUCCAAAGGGAUUUUAGCCUAUCCUGCAAUUCAGGAUAACCUCAAAUGUGCCAAUCAAAUCUUAAAAAAUAGAUGACUUUUGGAAUUUUACAAGGAAGAAAAUUUAAAAAAAGAGAGAAGACGGUGAUGGGGUAGGACACACAAAAAGCUGCAGGACAAUUACACAAUUAUGGUGAUCGGACUUCUACAAAUGCAGUGUCUCCAACCUCCAGUGAGUCUUCAUAUGAUUUUUCACCAGCAGUACUUAACAGCAAGCAUAUUGCUAUAGAGAAGGCAAUGUUCCAGAUGUUGCCCCUCAAUCAGCCUGCAUCCCUGAAUAAGGAGGCAUGGAGCAGAGCCUCCAGCCAACCUACAACAGACGCAUAUUAUAGGCUUCAUGACCAGCACAGAGCCCAACACAGGGCUUGAACUCAUGACCCUGAGAGCAAGACCUGAGCUGAGAUCAAGAAUCCAAGGUUUAACUGACUGAGCCGUCCAGGUGAGACAGAAAGGCUAGAAGAGGCUGGAGUUGGGUAAUUUUCCUUCCCCCACUUCAGAUAAAGCUCUGGUAAUCUU